AAGUUAUCGCUGGUUAGGAGUGUGGAGUACUCAGUGCCCUCUUCAUAGCAGUGGAGACUAUAAAUCUAAUCUAGAAGGAGAAGGAAUGCAAGGAAAAAAACAGAGAGAACAAAGGAAAAGUUAAAAAGCAAAGGAAUGUGGCCCAGAAGGCAAGAUAUUUCAAGACAUAGCAUCAACUGCUUAAAAAUACAGACCUGCUAACACCAGUAGCAUUUAAAACAACAUAAUGGCAAGAUUCUAAUAACUUGUCUUUGGCUGUCCAAUGCAAAAUAGAGACAUUGAGUUCAAUUAUGCAGCUAUUUUGGGUUUGGUUGCUUGGCUUGAAUGAUUAGGAUAAUUGUCCCAAUUAUUCUCCGUACUUUGU
rnacentral:lncRNA from 13 species